UACGGGGGGAGCAAGCGUUGUUCGGAUUUACUGGGCGUAAAGGGCGCGUAGGCGGCGCAACAAGUCACUUGUGAAAUCUCCGGGCUUAACCCGGAGCGGUCAAGUGAUACUGUCGUGCUAGAGUGGCGGAAGGGGCAACUGGAAUUCUCGGUGUAGCGGUGAAAUGCGCAGAUAUCAGGAGGAACACCAAUGGCGAAGGCAGCUCGCUGGAACGGUACUGACGCUGAGGCGCGAAAGCGUGGGGAGCGAACAGG
rnacentral:rRNA from 1 species